UGAUGCAAUCGUACUAGCACUAAUAUAUUAGAUCCUAUCAGAACUCCGCAGUUCAGUGUGUUUGAGCGAAUUACUAGGAUGGAUGACCUCUCGCAAAAUUUUCGUGUAGUAUCUU